UACAGCCAUAUCGCAUUAAAACUCUGGUUCUCAUGUGAUCACUGAAGUUAAGUAACAUUGAGCCUGGUUAGUACCUAGAUGGGUGACCACUUGGAAACACCAAGUGCUGUAAG